AGUGAACGCUGGCGGUAGGCCUAACACAUGCAAGUCGAACGGCAGCACAGUAAGAGCUUGCUCUUACGGGUGGCGAGUGGCGGACGGGUGAGGAAUACAUCGGACUCUACUUUUUCGUGGGGGAUAACGUAGGGAAACUUACGCUAAUACCGCAUACGCCCUACGGGUGAAAGCAGGGGAUCUUCGCACCUUGCGCGAUUGAAUGAGCCGAUGUCGGAUUAGCUAGUUGGCGGGGUAAAGGCCCACCAAGGCGACGAUCCGUAGCUGGUCUGAGAGGAUGAUCAGCCACACUGGAGCUGAGACACGGUCCAGACUCCGACGGGAGGCAGCAGCGGGGAAUAUUGGACAAUGUGCGCAAGCCUGAACCAGCCAUACCGCGUGGGUGAAGAGGCCUUCGGGUUGUAAAGCCCUUUUGUUGGGAAAGAAAAGCAGCAGGUUAAUACCCCGCUGUUCUGACGGUACCCAAAGAAUAAGCACCGGCUAACUUCGUG
rnacentral:rRNA from 1 species